CAGGCCAAGGCUAAGCCAUCUGAAAGUGAUGCAUUGCUAGGACUACACAGAGAGACACAGAGAAUGUCUGUUUAGUGCCCUGGCGGAGCCUAACUAUUUUCUUCCUCCUAAACCGCAGGAACGAAGAUUAUGCCGGGAAGCAAAAUGAAACUCCAUUAAAAACAGAAUUGAUCACAAACCUAGGAGAAGAGGCAGUCUGUGUACCUGCUAUAUUGUCUAAACAAAUCCAUCGAGGGAUCUUGAGUCAUUUAAUCAUGGUGCUGUCAUUUGGUUUGGAUGGAUACGAUGACUCACUGUUGGCAGAAGGGACUCCAAAUAGUUCAGGAGGUGUACAUGGCACACUUUCAAGUGAUGCACGAUGUAGGGAGAAGAUGACCUCAAUAAUUUUAUUGUAAGAAAAAAUGACGUGACUAUUGCUGGAACUCUGGAUGCGUUUACUAUAACUCAUGGGAAUGACAAGAACAAAUUAUCUGAGCUGCCUUUGGGAAAUGACUUUAUGUUGCUAACUUGGGAAAUAAAGAUGUAGAGAAACACAAAGCCCUGCUUUUUACAAUGCGUAUGUAUGCAAGUUUCUAAAGUCUAGAUUAAAAGACAAAAGAAGUCC